AUUGAACGCUGGCGGCAGGCCUAACACAUGCAAGUCGAACGGUAACAGGGUGAGACUUGCUUCUUACCGGAGGCGUGGCGGGCGGGGGAGAGAUGUACAGCAGACUCUCCUUUGUCGUGGGGUAACUCGUGGAAACGGUUACUAUAACAGCGUAUAGUCCCUACGGCUAAAAGCAGGGGCUCUUCGCACCUUGCGCGCGUGUAUGCGCCGAUGGCGGAUUAGCUAGUGGGCGGGGUAAAGGCACACCAAGGCGACGAUCCGUAGCUGGUCUGAGAGGAUGAUCAGCCACACUGGAACUGAGACACGGUCCAGACUCCUACGGGAGGCAGCAGUGGGGAAUAUUGGACAAUGGGCGCAAGCCUGAUCCAGCCAUGCCGCGUGGGUGAAGAAGGCCUUCGGGUUGUAAAGCCCUUUUGUCGGGAAAGAAGAGCAGCAGGUUAAUACCUCGCUGUAUUGACGUUACCCAAAGAAUAAGCACCGGCUAACUUCGUG
rnacentral:rRNA from 1 species